UACGGAGGGUGCAAGCGUUAUCCGGAUUCACUGGGUUUAAAGGGUGCGUAGGCGGGUCAGUAAGUCCGUGGUGAAAUCUCCAAGCUUAACUUGGAAACUGCCGUGGAUACUAUUGACCUUGAAUGUUGUGGAGGUUAGCGGAAUAUGUCAUGUAGCGGUGAAAUGCUUAGAUAUGACAUAGAACACCAAUUGCGAAGGCAGCUGGCUACACAAAUAUUGACGCUGAGGCACGAAAAGCGUGGGGAUCAAACAGG
rnacentral:rRNA from 1 species